UACGUAGGUGGCGAGCGUUGUCCGGAUUUAUUGGGUUUAAAGGGUGCGUAGGCGGCCCUAUAAGUCAGUGGUGAAAUAUCGCAGCUUAACUGUGAGGGUGCCAUUGAUACUGUAGGGCUUGAGUGAAUUUGAGGUAGGCGGAAUUGACGGUGUAGCGGUGAAAUGCUUAGAUAUCGGAAGGAACACCUGUGGCGAAAGCGGCUCACUGGACCAUUACUGACGCUGAGGCACGAAAGCUAGGGGAGCAAACAGG
rnacentral:rRNA from 1 species